rnacentral:rRNA from 1 species
UGGCUCAAGACGAACGCUGGCGGCGUGCCUAAUACAUGCAAGUCGAGCGAGCUUGCCUAGAUGAUUUUAGUGCUUGCACUAAAUGAAACUAGAUACAAGCGAGCGGCGGACGGGUGAGUAACACGUGGGUAACCUGCCCAAGAGACUGGGAUAACACCUGGAAACAGAUGCUAAUACCGGAUAACAACACUAGACGCAUGUCUAGAGUUUGAAAGAUGGUUCUGCUAUCACUCUUGGAUGGACCUGCGGUGCAUUAGCUAGUUGGUAAGGUAACGGCUUACCAAGGCAAUGAUGCAUAGCCGAGUUGAGAGACUGAUCGGCCACAUUGGGACUGAGACACGGCCCAAACUCCUACGGGAGGCAGCAGUAAGGAAUCUUCCACAAUGGACGAAAGUCUGAUGGAGCAACGCCGCGUGAGUGAAGAAAGGUUUCGGCUCGUANAGCUCUGUUGGUAGUGAAGAAAGAUAGAGGUAGUAACUGGCCUUUAUUUGACGGUAAUUACUUAGAAAGUCACGGCUAACUACGUGCCAGCAGCCGCGGUAAUACGUAA